rnacentral:rRNA from 1 species
AUUGAACGCUGGCGGCAGGCCUAACACAUGCAAGUCGAACGAGUGGCGGACGGGUGAGUAAUGUCUGGGAAACUGCCUGAUGGAGGGGGAUAACUACUGGAAACGGUAGAUAAUACCGCAUACCAUCGGAUGUGCCCAGAUGGGAUUGGCUAGUAGGUGGGGUAAAGGCUCACCUAGGCGACGAUCCAUAGCUGGUCUGAAAGGAUGACCAGCCACACUGGAACUGUGAUCAGGUCCAGCAUCCUACGUGAGGCAGCAGUGGGGAAUAUUGCACAAUGGGCGCAAUCCGGAUGCAGCCAUCCCGCGUGUAUGAAGAAGGCCUUCGGGUUGUAAAGUACUUUCAGCGGGGAGGCGUUACCCGCAGAAGAAGCACCGGCUAACUCCGUGCCAGCAGCCGCGGUAAUAC